AGCAUUGUUACUAUUUGUUCGUCGCUAAGUUUUGGGAGUAUAUAUUCAACAAGAUCAAGUUAAAUUAAGGAUCAGAUGUACUCCGGCAUGUGUCAUGUAGAGCUGUGUUCAACACCGUCAUGAAGUUAAAUAAGGAUUAGUUAUACCAAG